AUUUGAAAUCUGGCGCAAGCCCGAGUUGUAAUUUGUAGAGGAUGCUUCUGGGUAGCGGCCGGUCUAAGUUCCUUGGAACAGGACGUCAUAGAGGGUGAGAAUCCCGUAUGUGACUGGCUUGCACCCUCCACGGAGCUCCUUCGACGAGUCGAGUUGUUUGGGAGUGCAGCUCUAAAUGGGAGGUAAAUUUCUUCUAAAGCUAAAUACCGGCCAGAGACCGAUAGCGCACAAGUAGAGUGAUCGAAAGAUGAAAAGCACUUUGGAAAGAGAGUUAAAAAGCACGUGAAAUUGUUGAAAGGGAAGCGCCCGCAACCAGACUUUGCGGCAGGGUUCGGCCGGUCUUCUGACCGGGUCUCUCGCUGUCGGGAGUCCCUCAUCGUCUGGGACCGCUGGAUAAGACCUUAGGAAUGUGGCUCCCCUCGGGGAGCGUCAUAACCUCUGGAGAUGCCGCUCGUCUCGAUCCAGGUCCGCGCUUCGCGAAGUGUACGGGCGAACUGCUGCUAGCCUCCCCCGUCUUGAAACUCUGGACCACGGAGUAUACCAUCAUAUGCGAGUGUUCUGUCGGCACCCCCCAGCUAUGUAUCUGUACUCAAAUCGGAUCUGAGGACUUUUUUGAUGCACUAGAUGACCGCAUCAAUGAUGUCCUCACCUCCGAUUUGAUUCAGAGCAUAGCAGGUUGUGUACCCCCACAGAAUGCUGACAUAUGCCUGAAAAGCCGUGGAGUCCAAAUUAAACGUUGGGGCGACCCACGCGCUUAUUCUGAUCGAUGCAUAGCCGAUCGUCAGAUCUUGGGCAUGAGAGGGAAUAGCACUCAAUCAGAGGCAUACUAGUACUCUGCGUACGUGGCGGCAAGAUUCCCUUCAGGUAUAAUCAGUGACGGUUUUCAGAGUUAUUGAUG
rnacentral:rRNA from 1 species